rnacentral:lncRNA from 10 species
UGGCUUCCACUGCCUGACACUCCAUUUGGACUGAUGGCAGAGGCUUGGGGUGGGGACUCCAGGCCAGCAGGAGGCCCAGCAGAUCUCAUUGCUGCAGGGUGGCUGGCUGGCCUCAAGGACAUAUGAGUUGUCUCUCUCCUGCUGUGGGCAACUGGCAAGCAGUGAAGGGGACUCCCAGGAGGAACCAGGGAGAACUUGAGGAGGUCUGAGAAAGCAACCAAGAUCUAGAGAGGUGAUGUGACUUAUGGGAGACCCCAGAGUAAACUGGUGGCAGAAGAAAGACCAGAUCCAGCCCUCUGACUCCCUCAUUCCAAGGGAAGAUCACACACUAUCAAUCAGAAGCUGACUGAGUGCUCUGGCAUCAUCAGUACAAACUUGUUAGUGCCUCUCAGGGUGAAGCCAUAUGCAGUCUAACUUCUGGAGGCACAGAACUUCCUAAGAAGGCUGGAUCAGGAGACUCCACCUCCCUGUGGACUAGACAACAGCUCUUCCCCUAAGGCUACCUAACAGAGCUGGCGGGCUCUGAGCCUUCUUGCCAUGUGUUGUUGGGAUUUGAAUUUCUUGGCACCAGCCCAGAGCUCUCAUGGAGGUUCACCUGAGUUCUGAGUGAGCUGGGCAUAAGGAAUUGCUGGGAGGCCACAAACACUGGAAUUAGUAAAUCGGGGAGUGUGGCAAGGGAAAGCAGUUAUAGGCACCAUGCUUCAAAUCAGGACACCAGACGCAUACGCCAGGCUGAUGGGUAAUCUGGGACCUGGCUGCCAGUGAGUUAAGAUGACCUUGAAAUAACAGCUAAAGAGCAAACAUGAAGCAAAUAGGCAGGCCUCCACCUCUGGCUAACCUCCCCGAGAAGCACGGAGCUGAGGUUGCAGCAAAGACAUUCAGGAGAUCAGCCAGCCAGCAAACGUCAGCUCAGGCAUGUCUGGGGAGCUGGGCGGCUAGUGGG